AGACAUUACUUUGCCAACAAAGGUCCAUCUAGUCAAAGCUAUGGGUUUUCCAGUGGUCAUGUAUGGAUGUGAGAGUUGGACCAUAAGAAAGCUGAGAAAACUGAGUCCUGAAGAAUUGAUGCUUUUGAACUGUGGUGUUGGAGGCUCUUGAGAGUCCCUUGGACUGCAAGGAGAUCAAACCAGUCAAUCCUAAAGGAAAUCAGUCCUGAAUAUUCAUUGGAAGGACUGAUGCUGAACCUGAAACUCCAAUACUUUGGCCACCUGAUGUGAAUAACUGACUUAUUUGAAAAGACCCGGAUGCUGGGAAAGAUUGAAGACAGGAGGAGAAGGGGAUGACAGAGGAUAAGAUGGUUGGAUGGCAUCACCGACCUGAUGAACAUGAGUUUGGGUGAACUCCGGGAGUUGGUGAUAGACAGGGAAGCCUGGCGUGCUGCAGUCUAUGGAGUUGCAAAGAGUUUGACACGACUGAGCAACUGAAUUGAGUUGAGAAGCCAGAGCAAUUACUCUUAAGGAUAAGCCAGGUCUUGUUACUCCCUUGCCUGAAAGUAGCCCUUCAUGGAUCACCACUGUAUUCAGGAUAAAUUCCAAGCUCCCAACCACGGCCUUUGAGAAGCAGCAACAUCAGGGCCCUGCCUACCUGGCCAGCCUCAUCUUGUCUCACACGCUCCUUCACACACCAGAAUCUCUCGUCACUGGCUGCUUUCACUUCCUCAGAUGCCCUGUGCUAAUUCCAAGGCCUUUGCCAGCAACUCCUUUUUACCUAUCAGGUCUCAACCCAAAUGCCACUCCGUCUGUGAAAUUUUGUGCUUAGUUGCUCAAUCGUGUCUGACUCUUUGAGACCCCAUGGACUGUAGUCUGCCAGGCUCCUCUGUCCACUGGGGAUACUCCAGUAUUCUGGCCUGGAGAAUUCUAUGAACUGUAUAGUCCAUGGGGUCGCAAAGAGUUGGACAGGACCGAGCGACUUUCACUUCACUUCACUUCACUUCAGUGCUCCAUUUAGUGGAGAGAAAACAGGGACAGAGAAGUGAAGUCAUGUGCCCAGGGCCACACAGCUGAAAGGGAAGAGCCAAGAUUCAACCCCAUGCAGCCUGACUCCAGAGGUCUUAGAGUUCUACCUCCCUGAAUUGGCAUUCUGAUUUUAGAAUUCAGACCCAGGUUCUUAUUUGAUGUAACUACGUCCUGGGAGACCAAGGCCUGAUCUUGGAUCCUGCUAAUUCACUGAAAUAAUAAACAUUGCCCAGGAAAGACUCUUGGUGAUAAGUCAACCUCCCCUAUUCGUCUCUGACCCCAUCUACAUUUGAACACCACCAGCAGCAGGUAAAUGGGUGAUUACAUCACCCACUAAGUGCUCCAUUAUGACUAGACGGCCGCGGGGAUCUAAGGGAGGAAACAAUUUAUUCUUCCAAAGAGGCAGAGAGGGAAAACCCGUGAAGCCUGAGCUAGACCAUAAAGAGUGACCCAGGAGCUUACCAAGGAGACAGGGUAAUGGAAACACAGCCCAGGCACGGGGAACAGCUUGGAGGCACAGAGUUGCAGGACGCAUUCAGAGCAUGCAAAGACACCUAGUCCUCACUCUCUACUUCGCAGUUCCAGCCCUUAACCCGGCCCUCUGCUGCCCCGGGUCUCCCAGCUGUACCGUCAAGUAGUCUGAGUCCUCUGUACAGAACGAGAGCAAACAUGUGCACCCUGGUCAUAGGACUGCAGAGUAUGUGGUCUCACAGCGUAUGCCUUAAUUUCCGAACGGUGCCCAGCCCAGUGCCUGACCUGGGCAGUGGGCGCUCAGUGUCCCUGGUAACCGUGAUGAUGAUCGUUGUCCCUGCUUGGAUAGUAACAGCUUCGUCCCGUUGUCACAUGAGGAUUAACUGAGGUAACUGCUGUGAAGGCACCCUGCAAACCAGACAGUACUGCACAGAUGGGAGAGUGCUGUCAUGAACUUUUCCUCCCAAAAGCCUUUCAGAUUCAAGCUCUUCAGCUCCACUGCUCAAGGUAGCGCUCCCACCCGCCCCC
ensembl:lncRNA